UGGCGAGGACGACCUCCCCCGCUUAGGGCCUCACCGCCGGGACGGCCCGG
rnacentral:ncRNA from 1 species